rnacentral:rRNA from 1 species
GACGAACGCUGGCGGCGUGCCUAAUACAUGCAAGUUGAGCGCUGAAGGUUGGUCCUUGUACCAACUGGAUGAGCAGCGAACGGGUGAGUAACGCGUGGGGAAUCUGCCUUUGAGCGGGGGACAACAUUUGGAAACGAAUGCUAAUACCGCAUAAAAACUUUAAACACAAGUUUUAAGUUUGAAAGAUGCAAUUGCAUCACUCAUAGAUGAUCCCGCGUUGUAUUAGCUAGUUGGUGAGGUAAAGGCUCACCAAGGCGAUGAUACAUAGCCGACCUGAGAGGGUGAUCGGCCACAUUGGGACUGAGACACGGCCCAAACUCCUACGGGAGGCAGCAGUAGGGAAUCUUCGGCAAUGGACGAAAGUCUGACCGAGCAACGCCGCGUGAGUGAAGAAGGUUUUCGGAUCGUAAAACUCUGUUGGUAGAGAAGAACGUUGGUGAGAGUGGAAAGCUCAUCAAGUGACGGUAACUACCCAGAAAGGGACGGCUAACUACGUG